rnacentral:tRNA from 1 species
GGAGUAUUGCUUAGUGGUAGAGUGAGUGCUUAGCAUGCACAAGGUCCUAGGUUCAAUCCCCAGUACCUUCA